GUGUACAGCCUAAAUGCCCCAAAGGCACCAAACCUUAUUCGAACUUGGAAGUUAAGCAGGGUCAGGCCUGGUUCGUAAUUGGGUGGAAAGGCAUCAACAAAUACAAUGUGCUGUAGCCU
rnacentral:rRNA from 11 species